CCUGGCUUGCAGCAGACCGGCCGCAGCUGGCGAAUCGAAAGGAAGCAGGGACUCCGCAGAUGGCUUGGGACAGAGAAGGCAGUUGCAACAGCAAAACCCUGCAGGCCAGCCCCAUGGCUGAAGAACCCGAGGCACAGAUGGGCAGCGAAGGAGAGGCAGGAGGGCUAGACAAUCAUCUGUCCCCUUUAGGGCAUCCAGGGAGGCCAGCAUGGUGUCUCCGACGUGGGGAAGGAAGCCUCGGGGUCCGUGAUCUCUCUAAUGGAGAAUUCGCCCAGUCAGAGGCUGUUUGCCUGUUAAUACCACCAAUAGCAGAAUGGUCAUUUGUUGAAGGCCUGUGUGACUUCUAACCUCACAUUAACCUUGAUGGGCGGGAGAGAUGGCUAAACCCUGUGUUACACGUGGGGAAAUUGAAAAUUAGAGACGGUGAGUAAUUCCUGCAAGCUCACCAGCAAGCA